rnacentral:rRNA from 1 species
CAGGAAGCAGCUUGCUGCUUUGCUGACGAGUGGCGGACGGGUGAGUAAUGUCUGGGAAACUGCCUGAUGGAGGGGGAUAACUACUGGAAACGGUGGCUAAUACCGCAUAACGUCGCAAGACCAAAGAGGGGGACCUUCGGGCCUCUUGCCAUCAGAUGUGCCCAGAUGGGAUUAGCUUGUUGGUGAGGUAACGGCUCACCAAGGCGACGAUCCCUAGCUGGUCUGAGAGGAUGACCAGCCACACUGGAACUGAGACACGGUCCAGACUCCUACGGGAGGCAGCAGUGGGGAAUAUUGCACAAUGGGCGCAAGCCUGAUGCAGCCAUGCCGCGUGUAUGAAGAAGGCCUUCGGGUUGUAAAGUACUUUCAGCGGGGAGGAAGGUGUUGUGGUUAAUAACCGCAGCAAUUGACGUUACCCGCAGAAGAAGCACCGGCUAACUCCGUGCCAGCAGCCGCGGUAAUACGGAGGGUGCAAGCGU